UACGUAGGGUGCGAGCGUUGUCCGGAAUUAUUGGGCGUAAAGGGCUCGUAGGCGGUUUGUCGCGUCGGGAGUGAAAACCCAGGGCUUAACUCUGGGCUUGCUUUCGAUACGGGCAGACUAGAGGUAUGCAGGGGAGAACGGAAUUCCUGGUGUAGCGGUGAAAUGCGCAGAUAUCAGGAGGAACACCAGUGGCGAAGGCGAGUCCCUGGACAACACCUGACACUGAGGCACGAAAGCUAGGGGAGCAAACAGG
rnacentral:rRNA from 1 species